AUACUUGGUUGAUCCUGCCAAGGAAGCACACUAUGGUCAUAGAUUAAGCCAUGCAAGUGUAAGUUCAGGUAACUAAACUGCGAAUAGCUCAUUAACACACUCAUAAUCUACUUGGAACCAAUUUUUUAAAAAUUUUAAAUGGAUAGCAGGAGUAAUUCUCGUGCUAAUACAUGAAAUUUUAAUAAUCUUAAAUUAUUUUAGAUUAUUUUUAAUACCUUUUAAUAGGUAAUCCAAUCGAAUGAGUGACCUAUCAGGCCAGUACUUAGGGUCUUUACCUAAGUAAGCUAUCACGGGUAACGGGCGGUUACCGUCGUACUGCCGGAGAAGGCGCCUGAGAGAUAGCGACUAUAUCCACGGGUAGCAGCAGGCGCGAAACUUACCCACUCGAGACUAUCGGAGGUGGUAAUGACCAGUUAUAAAUAAGGAAUUUUCCUUUUUAUAUAGGAAUAUACUUUUCCAGUAUAUUGUAACCUAGCAGAGGGCCAGUCUGGUGCCAGCAGCUGCGGUAAUUCCAGCUCUGCAAGUUUGCUCCCAUAUUGUUGUAGUUAAAACGCUCGUAGYCUGAAUUAUUUUAAUUUAAAUUUUUUAAAUUAAAAUUAAGUUUUUAUUUUAUAAAAACGUUCACUGUGAACAARUCAGAACGCUUAGAGUAAUUUUUAAUUAUUGAAUGAUUUAGCGCAGUAUGAAAUUUUUACUUUUUAAAAAAAAAAAAUUUAUUUUUUUUUUUUUUUAACAAGUAAUAUCAAAGAGAAUAAUCGGGGAUAGRUCUAUUUCAUGGCGAACAGCGAAAUGUUUUGACCCAUGAGAGAGAAACUAAGGCGAAAGCAUCUAUCAAGUGUAUUUCYAUCGAUCAAGGGCGAGAGUAGGAGUAUCCAACCGGAUCAGAGACCCGGGUAGUUCCUACCUUAAACGAUGCCGACAAGRUUUUGUUUUUYUUUAUAAAAGCAGUAUCAUAGGAGAAAUCAUAGUUCAUGGGCUCUGGGGGAACUACGACCGCAAGGCUGAAACUUGAAGGAAUUGACGGAAGGGCACACCAGGGGUGGAGCUUGUGGCUUAAUUUGAAUCAACACGGGAAAACUUACCAGGACCAGAUAUUUUUAAUGACYRAUCAGGCUAUAGGUCUUUCAGGAUAUGAUUUUUGGUGGUGCAUGGCCGUUGGUGGUGCGUGGGUUGACCUGUCUAGCGUUGAUUCAGAUAACGAGCGAGAUUAUCACCAAUUAAAUAUAUAAUAAUUUUUUUUAAAAUUAAUUAUUUUCUAAUUGGGACUCCCUGCGUCUAAGCAGGAGGAAGAUGGUAGCAAUAACAGGUCCGUGAYGUCCUUUAGAUGCUCUGGGCUGCACGCGCGCUACAAUGUUAUAAUCAAAGAGUUUUGCUAAAUCGAUAGAUUAUCUYUUUUUUUUAAGAUUUAAUAGCUACUCUGUUAAUAUAUAACGUAGUUGGGAUUGAUAAUUGUAAUCAUUAUCAUGAACCAGGAAUCCCUUGUAAAUGCGUGUCAACAACGCGCGUUGAAUACGUCCCUGCCCUUUGUACACACCGCCCGUCGCUCCUACCGAUUGAAUGACUCGGUGAAAUCAUUGGAUCAUUUUUUUUUAAAUGAAAAGGUGAUUAAAUCACGUUAUUUAGAGGAAGGAGAAGUCGUAACAAGGUAACGGUAGGUGAACCUGCCGUUGGAUCAA
rnacentral:rRNA from 1 species